rnacentral:rRNA from 1 species
GAUGAACGCUAGCGGCAGGCUUAAUACAUGCAAGUCGUGGGGCAGCGCAGUGUAGCAAUACAUGGGCGGCGACCGGCAAACGGGUGCGGAACACGUACACAACCUUCCUUUUAGUGGAGCAUAGCCUAAGGAAACUUGGAUUAAUACUCCGUAACAUAAUGAAAUGGCAUCAUUUUAUUAUUAUAGCAGCAAUGCGCUAGAAGACGGGUGUGCGGCUGAUUAGGUAGUUGGCGGGGUAACGGCCCACCAAGCCUACGAUCAGUAACUGGUGUGAGAGCACGACCAGUCACACGGGCACUGAGACACGGGCCCGACUCCUACGGGAGGCAGCAGUAAGGAAUAUUGGUCAAUGGACGAAAGUCUGAACCAGCCAUGCCGCGUGGAGGAUGAAGGCCCUCUGGGUUGUAAACUUCUUUUAUAUGGGACGAAAAAGGGACUUUCUAGUUCAACUGACGGUACCAUAGGAAUAAGCACCGGCUAACUCCGUGCCAGCCGCCGCCGUAAGAC